rnacentral:rRNA from 1 species
CCUACGGGNAGGCAGCAGCAGGGAAUCUUGCGCAAUGGGCGAAAGCCUGACGCAGCGACACCGCGUGGGGGAAGAAGGCCUCAGGGUUGUAAACCCCUUUUCUGUGGGAAGAGAUAGGACGGUACCACAGGAAUAAGCAUCGGCUAACUACGUGCCAGCAGCCGCGGUAAUACGUAGGAUGCAAGCGUUGUCCGGAUUUACUGGGCGUAAAGGGUGUGUAGGCGGCAUGUUAAGUCUCAUGUGAAAUCUCCCGGCUCAACUGGGAGGGGUCAUGGGAAACUGGCAAGCUGGAGGGCAGCAGAGGAAAGCGGAAUUCCGGGAGUAGUGGUGGAAUGCGUAGAUACCCGGAGGAACACCAGAGGCGAAGGCGGCUUUCUGGGCUGUACCUGACGCUGAGACACGAAAGCGUGGGGAGCGAACCGGAUUAGAUACCCGGGUAGUCCACGCCCUAAACGAUGGAUACUAGAUAUAGGGGGUAUUGACCCCUCCUGUGUCGGAGUUAACGCGAUAAGUAUCCCGCCUGGGGAGUACGGCCGCAAGGCUAAAACUCAAAGGAAUUGACGG